CCUGGCGGCUUUAGCGCGGUGGUCCCACCUGACCCCAUGCCGAACUCAGAAGUGAAACGCCGUAGCGCCGAUGGUAGUGUGGGGUCU
rnacentral:rRNA from 3 species